rnacentral:rRNA from 1 species
AUACGGAGGGUGCAAGCGUUGUUCGGAAUUACUGGGCGUAAAGCGCGCGUAGGUGGUCUGUUAUGUCAGAUGUGAAAGUCCACGGCUCAACCGUGGAAGUGCAUUUGAAACUGGCAGACUUGAGUACUGGAGGGGGUAGUGGAAUUCCCGGUGUAGAGGUGAAAUUCGUAGAUAUCGGGAGGAAUACCGGUGGCGAAGGCGACUACCUGGCCAGAUACUGACACUGAGGUGCGAAAGCGUGGGGAACGAACAGGAUUAGAAACCCCAGUAGUCC